GCUGGGCAUGGUGGUGCAUGCCUGUAAUCCCAGCUACUCGGGAGGCUGAGGCAGGAGAAUCACUUGAACCCUGGAGGCAGAGGUUGCGGUGAGCUGAGAUUGAGCCACUGCACUCCAGCCUGGGUGACAGAGUGAGAUCCUGCCACAA
ensembl:misc_RNA Metazoa_SRP Metazoan signal recognition particle RNA